rnacentral:ncRNA from 2 species
GCGCGUUCUCAGGGCGGGGUGAAAUUCCCCACCGGCGGUGACAGCCCGCGAGCGCCCUUCCGAUGGAAGGGGUCAAGCAGACCCGGUGGAAUUCCGGGGCCGACGGUGAAAGUCCGGAUGGAAGAGACGUAU